rnacentral:rRNA from 1 species
CACGGGGGGAGCAAGCGUUGUUCGGAAUCACUGGGCGUAAAGGGCGUGUAGGCGGUCAAGUAAGUGGAAUGUGAAAUGCCCCGGCUCACCCGGGGACCUGCAUCCCAAACUGCUUGGCUUGAGUAUGGGAGAGGAUGAGGGAAUUCCUGGUGUAGCGGUGAAAUGCGUAGAUAUCAGGAGGAACACCGGUGGCGAAAGCGACAUCCUGGACCGGUAUUGACGCUGAGGCGCGAAAGUCAGGGGAGCAAACGGG